rnacentral:misc_RNA from 1 species
AAAGUCGUAACAAGGUUUCCGUAGGUGAACCUGCGGAAGGAUCAUUAACGCGCCGUGGGGUGCCGCCCGGAGACGGGUCCGGCUCCCUCACCUGGCCACCCUUGUCUAUUCUACCUGUUGCUUCGGCGGGCCCGCAGCGAUGCCGCCGGGGGAGUUAUCUCCCCGGGCCCGCGCCCGCCGAAGACGCCGUUGAACUUCUAGUUAAGAUUGACGUCUGAGCGUAUAACUAUAAUCAGUUAAAACUUUCAACAACGGAUCUCUUGGUUCCG